rnacentral:lncRNA from 1 species
ACGAAUAUAAAACAUCACUUUUAUUAAAUAUAAUAAAGAUUCGUUACAAGUAAAAUAUUACAGAUGAAUCCAGGCCUAGUGCCAAUAUCGAGUCAAAGACUUUAACUAGUACCGUUUUACAAAAGGAAAGGCAAAAGUACUUCCGGUGCUCCUAACGUCCAGUUUCCAUGCUACCCGGUCUCCCACUAAGGUUUCCUGCAACAAUAGGUGAGUUUAAUGAGUAACCUAUUGUAACUCAGUGAGCCAGGCCCCCAACUAACAAAUACAACCCCUCGCCAUCCCAACCACAAACAAUCUAAGACGAGGAGUUCACCUAACAAUAACACAACAAUAAUAAUCAUCACUCGAGACUUCCCCCGUGAAAACCCGAGUGACUUAACAAGAACAUAAAUAAGAUAAGAAGCAGAAUAUAAUCCACCAUUAGCAUAAUAAUAUAAUAUAUGCUAAGACUCUCUACACCUUCACUACACAUCCUCACUCGAGCUUUUUCAUCAUAUACACAACCAUGGAACACCUAACUCGCAGCCACAAAAGCACACGGGUUAGAACAUCCACCAUAACUGACAUGUAACCCCGAUAAGGUAUCAAAUGACAGAGCAUGCUUUCUAGCAACCUCUCCGUACAGAGCAUGCUUUAUGCAACCUCUCUGCCCAGCCACGUAGGGACAUACUCUAGCAACCUUCCUUGCCGCAAACUAACAUGAAGCACCACCAAGGAUACAACAUGACGGAGCAUGCUUUCUAGCAACCUUCCCGUACAGAGCAUGCUUUAUGCAACCUCUCUGCCAAGCCGCGUAGGGACAUGCUUACGUAACCUUCCUUGCCGCGUAACAUCCUAGCAUUGCUGAUCAGGCAAGCUAUCGACAAAGCUCGAUACUAAACAUUAGUACUAGCAAUCCUGCCUAUAUGGCCUAGGACGCUAAGUACAACACUAACUAGGAACUCAGCCGAUAUGGCCUAGAUCCCGAUCCUCUACUAACUCAACCAUAAUAUUACAUACUUGAAAUUCGGUCUAUAUGACCUAAAUUCCAUAGUACUAACCAAUAACAUCAUCACAAUCCCAGCAUGCAAACAUACAAUAACGCAAUAGCAAUAAUCAUCCAAGCAUGCAAUCAACCAAAGAUAGAUUCCAGAAUACCUAUCUAACCACAACCUAGCGAUAUUAUCUAAGGGUUCGCAUUCGCUAACUAACCAAGCAACCUAACCAUUAGCAUGCUACUACGAUUCCCAAACAAUAACUAAGCAUGCUAUCAACUCAAUCAACCAAACCUCGACUAUUAACUAAUCAAACUGUUACUCAGUUAGACCCGGCCUCCUGCCAUGAUCCAACUUCCAAGUAACAGGAACCUGCAUGAAAACAAGUCAGCAAUCGAUUGCCGUGACUCACAGUGUUUGGUUCGUUGUGGCUUUGACCCUUGAAUUUCCGUGACUCACAGUGUUUGGUUCGUUGUGGCUUUGACCCUUGCCCGAAUCCUCGACCAAAACCCUUUCUUGAACACCUCAAGUGGCCUCCUAUCGCAAAUGACCUCAAUAACGUGCCUAACCUUGAAUGGCCUCCCUGGAACAACUCUCAACUCAAACAGAAACUUCUAUAGGCGUCGAUCCAAAACUUGUGUAGUAACUGAUCCCGAAAACUCUUGAAAACUAUCGAAACCUCUUGCUUUCUCUCUUUACUUUCUUUCACGUUUUUAAACUGAUCUGAAGUUGUCUGGAUGUGUUGAAAUGUGAAGGUGGGCGUGCCUAUUUAUAGAAUACAGCAGCCAAUCAGAUUCAGGUCGGUGGCAGCCCGUGUGUCGGCUCACAUGGCUCAGGUUGCAUGCGCGGCGGGACCUCGUGCUCCACAUGUCUUUCAGCAUGGCCGGGGCUCAUGCAAAGUGACACCUCUUAUCCUUCCUGGACGACUAGAUGUUCAUCAGCAUGUCUGGAUCACAUGCACGGCAACACACGGUCCCCACAUGUCGAUCAGCAUGCUGCGGUUGCAGAUAUGGCGACAUCUCGUUCUUCUGUGUGUCAGUCCGUAUGUGCUGCUUCCAUGCUUGCCGACACCUCGUGCUUGUGUAGACAGACAGCUUAUCAUAUGGUUGACACCACGUCCUGAUGACAUGCAUUGAGACGCCUCCAGCUUCUCGGUCGAUUUACGCGAUCUUGACCCUUCCGGCAUAUUUUUGGCCCACGAUUAAUCCCAAAUAUUUUCCUGCUCCCGUUCUGACGUUCGGAAUAUUUUUAAUAAACUCCAGACUCCAUUAUAACCUUGACGGUAAUAUUUCCCGAGCCUCCGGCUUCCUCAAAGAAUUCCAUAAUACCAAAAUUAGGGAUUUUGGUAACUUCGGGUUUUUUCGGCUUGCUUCGUCCCCAUCGUGCUUGCUUCCUGUCAUGCUUAAUUUCUGUCCUGCUCCCAAAUUAUGAUGUCUCUGAAUUAAUAUUCCGCUAAUAUGAAGUUUUGCGGAUUACUUCGUGGUUAAGAAACGUCGGGUUUCAAAAACGUCGAGCUUCUAAAACCAUCGUCCUUGAAAAAUGUGAUGCUUCCAAAACCUCCGUCUGAUCAAUCUGAGACAUCUUCUAACUAUUGUUGAGGAACUUAUUCGAGUCAUAGUUAACUCACGAUCAAUUCUUCGACCACCUCGUUCUUCAAAAUUUCCCGAUCGAUCUUUAUCGCCCGCGAUUCGACCACCAAGUUGGUGUUCGACCAAUCUUCUGUCUCGAUCAUUCUUAUCCCGAAGGGCGGGUUAUCACAUUCUCCCCCCCCCCCCCCCCCUAAAANNNNNNNNNNNNNNNNNNNNNNNNNCCCCCCCCCCCUUAAUAGAACUCAUCCUCCAAUUCUUAGUUGCGCAAUCGCUUAUCGUUACGACAUUCUCAACUCGUCUCCAUAUAUCUUUACGCUGUCCACAACGGUUCCUUGAGUGUCUUCCUCAAGGUCUCCUCAAUUGUCUUAAUAUCUCUUCACUGGAAUGAUCACCGAGUCGUCCUCUUGCCUCUACUCUGCUGGAACACUCAUUCGGUAUAAUACUAUCUUGUCAUCUCGAUUGAUACCAUACUCGUACUUAGUCACUUCUUCAACUUGAUUUCUUGUGAUGAUCAAGUCUUCCAUUUCUAUCAUGUCCUUUCGAUAGAUAUCUCCUCAGAACCAAACAUGUACCCAACAUAGCCACCAAUCUUCAAGGGUUUGGUCUUCGGGGGUUAUUACCUGCCACAACGUUCCUACACACAACAAGAACACAAACCACAAGUUCUCGUGCAAAAGCACAGAACGUCUAUUAAAAAAACUAAUAUUUUCCCAACACAUCAGAACCAAUCAGGCAAAUAAACACUCAAACAAGGAAGUUAAAACCCCUACUUACCUUGUAGGCCUGAAGGUUAAGGUUUUUCUAAAGAUCUAGAUCCUAUUUCUUCUCUUUCUCGGGGGUCUGUCUUCCAGUAGGGCAAGUGGGGAAUGUUCUUCUGCUAAUGCAACUUUCUCUGCCAUGCAGUGUCGAGCAAUGUGACCAACCUCUCCACAAUAAAAACAUCCUUGGUUUCCAUCCCAAGAUAUUGAGUCAUGGCUUCUUUUUCUAGAUAGGCAUUGCUGACUGGAAUCCUUGAACUGAACUAUAUGUUUUCCCUUCUGGCCACUAACGCCUUUUCUUUUUGAUUCAUACUUGGCUUCUGCUGCUACCGCAACUUCCACAUUUACGGCCCUCUCGACUAAGUCUGUGAGAUUUCCAUAGUUGCCUACCGCGACUCUACUACCUAGUUCAGAUCGCAAUCCAUACAUGAAGUUUCAGAUCAUUGUUGCUUCGUUCUCUUGGCCGUUAAAUACAUAGCAACGAAGACUUGUGAAUUCCGCUUUAUAUUCUCGUACUGUCCUAUCCCCUUGGGCAAGAUUGAUGAACUGCCUCUCCAAUCGAUGUCUUGCCUCGGGUGGGAAGUACUUCCUUCUGAACUCCUUUUGAAACACGUCCCAAGAUUUAAUAUGAUUUCCAUGUUGACGUUCCACGCUUUCCCACCAGUUACGAGCAUCUCCUUGUAGAUAGUAAACCGCCACUCUCUUCUUGUAUUUUUCUGGACAGAUCAUGGCUUCAAAGUUUAUAUCCAUCAUGUGCAUCCACUCUUCUGCCUCAAACGUGUUGAUUCCUCCUUUGAACUUAUAUGUUUCCAAACCCUUCAUCGUCUUCAAGAUCUUCAGAUACUCCAUGUUUAAGGAUUCCUCAGGUUGUGCAAUCCUUGAAACUUGGCGUAGCAUUUGAGUAAACAAAUCUACCAGAAUUCCCAGUGGAAUUUCAGCCUCUUGAUUCCCUCUUCGUCUUGGUUGUUCAUUUGAAUAUGAACUUGCUGGCAACGGUGAUUGACUAUGUCCCUGACUUCUUGAAAACUGAUUUCCAUAACGUUGACUCAUAUCUCGGUGAUCCAUUCUGCCCCUUGUAGAAAACCCUUGUUCUGAAUCCCCAAAUGCUCGACCAUCUCUUGACGACCAUCCCCACUGCCUACCUUGACUUGCACCCCGAUUAUUCAUCUACAACCAACGAAAAGGUAAAUCAUAAAUUUCUUACCCAGAAUGGCUGGACGUGACCCGAAUACUCUAAAUGCCUUUCAAAUAUUUUAUGACUCGAUAAAAUAUUUGAAAACCGAUUAAAAACGCAGGUUCUGAAAGCAUGGACGAAACCAUGCUCUGAUACCACCUCUGUAACACCCCCGAACCGUCCUAGGCAUAGGUCGAGCCAUCGGCCAACAAUAAAAUAAGAACAUGACCGACGGACGACCUACACCAAGGGUUGGAGAUGAAAGGCCAAUCGGCCAGCCAACAAUCAAACAAGAACAUGACUGACCGUCCAACCCAACAGCAUGGUCCGGAAGCGCUACAUGACGGGCUAGGGACAAUCCAGUCAAAGUCACAGAACUUAAUCCGCAACAUCUACCAGUUCAUCCCCUAACACGUCCCGCUAAAUCAUGGCUUAAGGCUUUGCAACCCGUACUAUGAGUUAACGGUUCCGUUAGAUCGCGGCCUAAGGCUUUUCAACCCGUACCUAAACCUAACGUUGUGUUUAGACCAGACAAGUCUAUUUAUCAGAGAACCAUUGUAACGAAUAUAAAACAUCACUUUUAUUAAAUAUAGUAAAGAUUCGUUACAAGUAAAAUAUUACAGAUGGAUCCAAGCCUAGUGCCAAUAUCGAUUCAAAGAAUUUAAGUAGUACCGUUUUACAAUAGGAAAGGCAAAAGUACUUCCGGUGCUCCUAACGUCCAGCUUCCAUGCUACCCGGUCUCCCACUAAGGUUUCCUGCAACAAUAGGUGAGUUUAAUGAGUAACCUAAUGUCACUCAGUGAGCCAGGACCCCAACUAACAAAUACAACCCCUCGCCAUUCCAACCCCAAACAAUCUAAGACGAGGAGUUCACCUAACAAUAACAACAAUAAUAAUCAUCACUCGAGAAUUCCCCAGUGGAAACCCAAGUGACUCAACAAGAACAUAAAUAAGAUAAGCAGCAGAAUAUAAUCCACCAUUAGCAUAAUAAUAUAAUAUAUGCUAAGACUCUCUACACCUUCACUACACAUCCUCACUCGAGCUUUUUAAUCAUAUACACAACCAUGGAACACUUAACUCGCAGCCACAAAGGCACACGGGUUAGAACAUCCAACAUAACUGACAUGUA